GGUUAGUGGCGGACGGGUGAGUAACGCGUGAGAAUCUGCCCUCAGGAGGGGGACAACAGCUGGAAACGGCUGCUAAUACCCCAUAUGCCGCGAGGUGAAAUGAAUUUCGCCUGAGGAUGAGCUCGCGUCUGAUUAGCUAGUUGGUGUAGGUAAUGGCUCACCAAGGCAUCGAUCAGUAGCUGGUCUGAGAGGAUGAUCAGCCACACUGGGACUGGGACACGGCCCAGACUCCUACGGGAGGCAGCAGUGGGGAAUUUUCCGCAAUGGGCGAAAGCCUGACGGAGCAACGCCGCGUGAGGGAUGAAGGCCUCUGGGCUGUAAACCUCUUUUAUCAAGGAAGAAGAUCUGACGGUACUUGAUGAAUAAGCCACGGCUAAUUCCGUGCCAGCAGCCGCGGUAAUACGGGAGUGGCAAGCGUUAUCCGGAAUUAUUGGGCGUAAAGCGUCCGCAGGCGGCCCUUCAAGUCUGCUGUUAAAAAGUGGAGCUUAACUCCAUCAUGGCAGUGGAAACUGUUGGGCUUGAGUGUGGUAGGGGCAGGGGGAAUUCCCGGUGUAGCGGUGAAAUGCGUAGAUAUCGGGAAGAACACCAGUGGCGAAGGCG
rnacentral:rRNA from 1 species